AGACGAACGCUGGCGGCGUGCCUAAUACAUGCAAGUCGUACGCUUCUUUUUCCACCGGAGCUUGCUCCACCGGAAAAAGAGGAGUGGCGAACGGGUGAGUAACACGUGGGUAACCUGCCCAUCAGAAGGGGAUAACACUUGGAAACAGGUGCUAAUACCGUAUAACAAUCGAAACCGCAUGGUUUUGAUUUGAAAGGCGCUUUCGGGUGUCGCUGAUGGAUGGACCCGCGGUGCAUUAGCUAGUUGGUGAGGUAACGGCUCACCAAGGCCACGAUGCAUAGCCGACCUGAGAGGGUGAUCGGCCACAUUGGGACUGAGACACGGCCCAAACUCCUACGGGAGGCAGCAGUAGGGAAUCUUCGGCAAUGGACGAAAGUCUGACCGAGCAACGCCGCGUGAGUGAAGAAGGUUUUCGGAUCGUAAAACUCUGUUGUUAGAGAAGAAUAAGGAUGAGAGUAACUGUUCAUCCCUUGACGGUAUCUAACCAGAAAGCCACGGCUAACUACGUGCCAGCAGCCGCGGUAAUACGUAGGUGGCAAGCGUUGUCCGGAUUUAUUGGGCGUAAAGCGAGCGCAGGCGGUUUCUUAAGUCUGAUGUGAAAGCCCCCGGCUCAACCGGGGAGGGUCAUUGGAAACUGGGAGACUUGAGUGCAGAAGAGGAGAGUGGAAUUCCAUGUGUAGCGGUGAAAUGCGUAGAUAUAUGGAGGAACACCAGUGGCGAAGGCGGCUCUCUGGUCUGUAACUGACGCUGAGGCUCGAAAGCGUGGGGAGCAAACAGGAUUAGAUACCCUGGUAGUCCACGCCGUAAACGAUGAGUGCUAAGUGUUGGAGGGUUUCCGCCCUUCAGUGCUGCAGCUAACGCAUUAAGCACUCC
rnacentral:rRNA from 1 species